UACGAAGGGGGCUAGCGUUGCUCGGAAUCACUGGGCGUAAAGCGCACGUAGGCGGACUCUUAAGUCAGGGGUGAAAUCCUGGAGCUCAACUCCAGAACUGCCUUUGAUACUGAGGAUCUUGAGUCCGGGAGAGGUGAGUGGAACUGCGAGUGUAGAGGUGAAAUUCGUAGAUAUUCGCAAGAACACCAGUGGCGAAGGCGGCUCACUGGCCCGGUACUGACGCUGAGGCACGAAAGCGUGGGGAGCAAACAGG
rnacentral:rRNA from 1 species